rnacentral:rRNA from 1 species
UACGAAAGGGGGGCUAGCGUUGCUCGGAAAUCACUGGGCGUAAAAGCGCACGUAGGCGGCUUUCUAAGUCAGGGGUGAAAUCCUGGAGCUCAAACUCCAGAACUGCCUUUGAUACUGGAAAGCUUGAGUUCGGGAGAGGUGAGUGGAACUGCGAGUGUAGAGGUGAAAUUCGUAGAUAUUCGCAAGAACACCAGUGGCGAAGGCGGCUCACUGGCCCGAUACUGACGCUGAGGUGCGAAAGCGUGGGGAGCAAACAGG